rnacentral:rRNA from 1 species
UACGUAGGGUGCGAGCGUUUAAUCGGAAUUACUGGGCGUAAAGCGUGCGCAGGCGGUUGUGUAAGACAGAUGUGAAAUCCCCGGGCUCAACCUGGGAACUGCAUUUGUGACUGCACGGCUGGAGUGCGGCAGAGGGGGAUGGAAUUCCGCGUGUAAGCAGUGAAAUGCGUAGAUAUCGGGAGGAACACCAGUGGCGAAGGCGACUACCUGGCCUGUUCUUGACGCUGAGGCGCGAAAGCUAGGGGAGCAAACGGG